GACGAACGCUGGCGGCGUGCUUAACACAUGCAAGUCGAGCGAUGCAGCACCUUCAGGUGUGAAUUAGCGGCGAACGGGUGAGGAACACGUGAGAAAUCUGCCUUCAACUCUGGGAUAACUCCGUGAAAACGGGGCUAAUACCGGAUAUGAAACCUGCGGGCAUCCGCGGGUUUGGAAAGUUUUUCGGUUGAAGAUGAUCUCGCGGCCUAUCAGCUUGUUGGUGAGGUAAUGGCUCACCAAGGCGACGACGGGUAGCCGGCCUGAGAGGGCGACCGGCCACGCUGGGACAUCGACACGGCCCAGACUCCUACGGGGGGCAGCAGUGGGGAAUAUUGGGCAAUGGAGGAAACUCUGACCCAGCGACGCCGCGUGCGGGAUGAAGGCCUUCGGGUUGUAAACCGCUUUCAGCAGGGAAGAAGCGAAAGUGACGGUACCUGCAGAAGAAGCACCGGCUAACUAUGUGCCAGCCGCCGCGGUAA
rnacentral:rRNA from 1 species